GUAGAGGAUGAUGAGUGGACGUCUCGUCUGUGGUGGUUUGGCAGCACUGGGGUUUGGCUCUGAAGCUGGAAACACACCUGCUCCCCGUCAGAAGAAAUAGUUUGAUCUGCUUAAUAAGAGUGAGAAAUGUCCAAUGCAGGUCCACGGCCAUUUAAAACUUUUCAGAAACGUCUUUGUGGAUUCCACCCUCCUAAAGUGUUCAUUUCAGACUUUCAGGUCGUAAGUGUUCCACCUGCUGCAAGUGUUCCACCUGCUUUACUCCACUCCUACUGCUGUAGCGCCCUCUACCUCCACCCCCACCAUUAUACAGCCUGCACUUACAUUAUCACUGCUCAUUCAUUAUUUUCAUAUUUCAGUAUUUACUCCACACGCAAUUAUCUCUGGAACGUCCCCAAAGCCUUUUAUAGUCAUAUUGUCUUUUAUUGAAUAGAAGAUCAUUUGUGUGAAUUUUAAAAAGAGCUUUAUAUGUCAUCAUCAUCAUCAUCAUCAUCAUCAUUAUUAUGUUUAAAUUAUAAUAUACAAUAUGUGUCUUUACUACCUGGUAGUCAAAGUUCAUCUCCUUCAUUCAGUGAUUCAUCUGCAUCCAGACCUGCUGUUUCUUCUGUUCUGCUCCUUCAAACAUUUCCUCCUCGUGUUUUGAGCCACUCAGAGACUUGAUAUUAUAUUAUUUAUAUUAUUAUUUAUUUUAUUUAUUGUACUGUUUAUGAAUAUUGUUUGCUAAUGUUUAUAUCGCUGUGUAAUGAUUCUAAUUUUGUGGAUUUACUACUAUUAUUAUUUAUUGUUAUUAUUAGUUGGUGUUUUAAACCCACUGUCACUUUUUAUCAUUGUA